rnacentral:rRNA from 1 species
UAGGCUGUUUAGCAAGUCAGAAGUGAAAUCCUAUAGCUCAACUAUAGAACUGCUUUUGAAACUGCUUAACUAGAGUGUGGGAGAGGCAGAUGGAAUUUCUGGUGUAGGGGUAAAAUCCGUAGAUAUCAGAAGGAAUACCGAUUGCGAAGGCGAUCUGCUGGAACAUUACUGACGCUGAGACGCGAAAGCGUGGGGAGCAAACAGGAUUAGAUACCCUGGUAGUCCACGCCCUAAACGAUGUACACUAGUUGUUGUGGUGCUAGUCACUGCAGUAAUACAGUUAACACAUUAAGUGUACCGCCUGGGGAGUACGGUCGCAAGAUUAAAACUCAAAGGAAUAGACGGGGACCCGCACAAGCGGUGGAGCAUGUGGUUUAAUUCGAAGAUACGCGAAAAACCUUACCUGGCCUUGACAUUGAUAGAAUCCUGUAGAGAUACGGGAGUGCCGGCUUGCCGGAACUUGAAAACAGGUGCUGCACGGCUGUCGUCAGCUCGUGUCGUGAGAUGUUGGGUUAAGUCCCGCAACGAGCGCAACCCACGUCCUUAGUUGCCAAGCAUUUCGGAUGGGAACUCUAA